rnacentral:rRNA from 1 species
AUUGUUUGAUUAUGGCUCAGGACGAACGCUGGCGGCGUGCCUAAUACAUGCAAGUCGAGCGAGCAGAACCAGCAGAUUUACUUCGGUAAUGACGCUGGGGACGCGAGCGGCGGAUGGGUGAGUAACACGUGGGGAACCUGCCCCAUAGACUGGGAUACCACUUGGAAACAGGUGCUAAUACCGGAUAACAACAUGAAUCGCAUGAUUCAAGUUUGAAAGGCGGCGCAAGCUGUCACUUUAGGAUGAGCCCGCGGCGCAUUAGCUAGUUGGUGGGGUAAAGGCCUACCAAGGCAAUGAUGCGUAGCCGAGUUGAGAGACUGCAUCGGCCACAUUGGGACUGAGACACGGCCCAAACUCCUACGGGAGGCAGCAGUAGGGAAUCUUCCACAAUGGACGCAAGUCUGAUGGAGCAACGCCGCGUGAGUGAAGAAGGUCUUCGGAUCGUAAAGCUCUGUUGUUGGUGAAGAAGGAUAGAGGCAGUAACUGGUCUUUAUUUGACGGUAAUCAACCAGAAAGUCACGGCUAACUACGUGCCAGCAGCCGCGGUAAUACGUAGGUGGCAAGCGUUGUCCGGAUUUAUUGGGCGUAAAGCGAGCGCAGGCGGAAUGAUAAGUCUGAUGUGAAAGCCCACGGCUCAACCGUGGAACUGCAUCGGAAACUGUCAUUCUUGAGUGCAGAAGAGGAGAGUGGAACUCCAUGUGUAGCGGUGA